rnacentral:lncRNA from 1 species
AGGAGUAGAGUUUUCCCUUAGGGAAAAUACAAAGGGCACCUCCACACCCACACUAAGACACAAGUCUGCUGGUAUUUAAAGGCUGACAGCUUUAGCCUGCUGAUCCACACUGUUGCCCAGACUGAGAGCACCUGAUAACCCCAGCAUGAAAUUCCUCCACCUCACCAGUCUCCUGUAUAUCCUGCUCCUGUGUUUGUUGGCCUUCUCUACAGAAGGUGCAAGACGCAAUAAACCUCGGAAAGGUCUUUGCUGCCAUGAUGCUCGAAACCAUGCAUUCAAAAGUUUGAAAGGAAAAAAUCCAAAAAUGUGGCUACGCCACAAGUUCUGUAAAGGCAAAAUCAUUUCUCCUUGUAAGAAGAUCCCUGGGGCACUUCCUCAGUUAUAACAAACCAGAACAGGAAACCACGGAGAAACAAAGACCAAGAGCCCUUCUCUGAUCUCCAAGUUUACUACACUCACUGCUUUUUGGUUUCAAACUAAAGCUCCUCACCAUUUGAAGGAGAUUCAUUCUUCUCCAAAGCUGCAUCAUGCUGAUGAUCCAUUGCAUCCAGCUCACUAAAGGACAAACACUCUUCUUUGUCAUUGAAUCUUUCAGACUCAACCACUCUUUGGCCAGUUGUGUUAUUUAUUCUUCCCAGUCUUGAGACUGGAAGCUCCUCUAGCUGUCUGUGCCAAGGAGACCUAGAUCACAUUAUCUCUAACAUCGACACUUAACUGAUCCUGCCCUUCUGUUCUUUAAAUUGUAGUUUGUUAUAGUAUUGUAACUAAUGAAUGAAUCACAGGUUUAAAACUCCUGAGUGGUUCUUAUGUGCUAAAUCCCCAAAGAACAAGUCCAAAGGGUUCCAUUACAGGGUAUGUGCCAUAAGACAGGAUUAGCACUCAGCUUAUAACUAGCCAUGUUUGAUUUGACUUCCAAUAUACCCAGUUGUGUAAUUUGGGGGCUGACUGAGAUCCUGGGAAGGAGACAGAAGUUGUGUAGUACAGUGGAAUAAAGUUCUGUGUUUAGCACUUUGCCACUAACUAGAUGUAUGGUGUUGGAUUGGCCACUUGGGUUUCAUCUAUAAAAUGAAGGAUUCUGACUUGGUCUUUUGGGUCUCAUUCAUCCCUGAGGAUUAUUGAUUUCAAGUCUCAAAGACAUAAUUUAAAAAUCCUGAGAUUUCAAGGCGCUUAAAAAAUCAUUUACUUUUAUCCAAAGGAAAGACUUCUUGGGAAGAGAAUUCCAGUUUUUUUCAUAUAUUUCAAUAGCUAAUUGCUUCAGUGUAAACUCCAUCUUUAUGUCUCACUAUAUCUUUGAACAAUAAAGAUGUUUUCCAGUCAAUAAAUUAAUCUAAAGUAUUUAUUAAGAGUUUGAUAUGUGUUCAGCACUGUACAAACACUGAGGAUAUAAAAGAAGGUUAAAAACAGUUCUUUUCUAAAGGAAAAUUGUAAUUUAACAGAAAAAGCAACAUUUAAAUAAACAUAUAUAAAGAGUAAAUGGAUGGUAGAGGGAAGGCCAUCAGAAGCUGGAG